rnacentral:rRNA from 1 species
GAGUUUGAUCCUGGCUCAGAACGAACGCUGGCGGCGUGCUUAACACAUGCAAGUCAGGGAGAAAGUCUCUUCGGGGAUGAUUAAACCGGCGCACGGGUGAGUAACACGUGAGUGACCUGCCUUUUAGACUGGAACAACUUACCGAAAGGUGAGCUAAUGCCGGAUGAGUUAUAUAAGUGCAUGUUUAUAUAGGAAAAGUUGGGGAGACCUGACGCUGAAAGAUGGACUCGCGUCCCAUUAGCUAGUUGGUAGGGUAAUGGCCUACCAAGGCGACGAUGGGUAGCCGGCCUGAGAGGGUGGCCGGCCACACUGGGACUGAGACACGGCCCAGACUCCUACGGGAGGCAGCAGUGGGGAAUUUUGCGCAAUGCUCGUAAGAGUGACGCAGCGACGCCGCGUGAAUGACGAAGGCCUUCGGGUCGUAAAGUUCUUUCGACAGGGAAGAAAAUGCCUAUAAGUAACUGUGUAUGUAUUGACGGUACCUGUAUAAGCAGCCCCGGCUAACUCCGUGCCAGCAGCCGCGGUAAUACGGAGGGGGCGAGCGUUGUUCGGAGUGACUGGGCGUAAAGAGCACGUAGGCGGUGUUGUAAGUCAUUAGUCAAAGACUAGAGCUCAACUUUAGUAAGGCUAGUGAUACUAUAAUACUAGAGUAUCA